GGACUAAGUAAGUGGGUGGAAGAGCCUAGGUACCACUCACAUCCACAUCCGCUGGAAAGGAAUGUAGUUACAACUCUGCUGCUGCCAUUAGCGCCUCAAAAUUCACUAUCACUUGCUGCUGGUCAAUCACGUAACAGAACAUUGGAAAACGGUGUUUAUGGAUGGGACACAAUGACACAUAAUCGUGAUACUUCCAGAGGGAGGAUUGGUUGAGCCUCGUGAUUCUUAUAGGCGGGACAAACUGCUAAAUCCUGAUAUUUACAGAGGAGAGUCUUUAGCAGAGCAUUAUGAUUAUCCCAGACAGGAUGGAUUAGUAGAGCAUCGCGAAUAUCAGCUGGUAAAUCUGGAAGCAGGACUCCGGGAUCUCGUAAACCAUGUUUUAUACUCUGAGAAUUUUUCCUCCCAGGAUCCUGUGUACUCGCCAGGCAGACACCCCAAGUAUAAUCCUCCACCAGGCUUACGACCUGAAUACCGUCUUGGUGGCCUAUCAAGUGAGUACAGUUCUACAAGAGGCAUGCCUCCUGAGUACCAUUCAUCUCCAAACUUUCUGCUCGAGUUCCAUUAUCAUCAACCCGCAUACUGAUAUUAGGUUCCGUCGAAGGUAUGGUGUUAAGAGAAUGGUAACUCUUCCCACUAGAACUCAGCUUGAAAAUUUGACCAUUUAGUGAUUCCAUCUUCACAGGUUUCUGUAAUACUGAUAGUUUACGAUGUAGUUUGAGCUGAAUUUCAUUAGAUGGUAGCCCUUGGUUUUCCAAAAGUUCUGUUGCUAUCACUUUUGCAGAAGAGACAUCCGUUCAGCCAGGAUUUUGCAGCUUGUGCUAUAAACCCAUAGAAAUUACAAGGUGGAUCCUUACAUGAUCAUGAGUCGAGUGAGCUUAGAGUUGAAGUUCACACUCAAAAGUUAGUUACUGAAUGGUAAUUUUUUUGUUUGCUUGAAAAUUCAGUAUACACCAUUUGUCAAAGUUUGAUCCUAGUUCUGAAACUUCUGUAAAAGCUAGAUGAACUCAACUGUUAGCAGACUGUUUCACUCACCAAAUGGGAGAUCAUUGUUCCAUUUUGAUUGACAUUAGUACCAGAAGAUGUUUGAGGAUUCAUAUUUCACAGAUGAGCUUUCAUUUGCUCAGGCAUUGAGACCAUA